GGGUCAGUAGGUUGGUCGUGCCACCGGUACGUACUGGCCUCACUGAUUCCUCCUUCCUGAAGAACCGUAAUGCCAUUAAUUUGGUGUUGCGGGGAAACAGGACUGUUACUUUGAAAAAAUUAGAGUGUUUAAAGCAAGCUAACGCUUGAAUACACUAGCAUGGAAUAAUGAAAUAGGACGAUCGAUCCUAUUUUGUUGGUUUCUAGGAUUGACGUA
rnacentral:rRNA from 1 species